GACGAACGCUGGCGGCGUGCUUAACACAUGCAAGUCGAGCGGAGCGGCGAACGGGUGAGUAACGCGUGAGUAACUGCCCCCCUCCCUGUGAUAACAGUUGGAAACGGCUGCUAAUACCGGAUAGUGGGGGAUGACUCGCGUCCUAUCAGCUUGGUGGUGGGGUAGGGGCCUACCAAGGCGACGCCUGGUAGCCGGCCUGAGAGGGGGACCGGCCACAUUGGGCUGAGAUACGGCACAAAGGCCUACGGGAGGCAGCAGUGGGGAAUAUUGCACAAUGGGGGAAGCACUGAUGAAGCAGCGUCGGGUGCGGGAUGACGGCCUUCGGGUUGUAAACCGCGUUCAGCCAUGACGCGGUAGUGGCAGAAGAAGCACCGGCUAACUACGUGCCAGCAGCCGCGGUAAUUC
rnacentral:rRNA from 1 species